rnacentral:ncRNA from 1 species
AUCUGAUAAGGGCAAACCGCGGGAAACUGCGGGACGCAAAGUCAUCGGUCUAAAGAGCUUCGGCUCCAUGACGGCAGGACUGCCAGA